ACUUCAAUUACAUCAACUAGUAAUACAACGUAGAUCGACGAAAAAAUAGCAACUACGCGUUAUCAAAGAUUACUCAAAAAGUAGUUAUCAGAUCUCGAUAAAAUUUUUAUGCAACCACAUGAUAAACAUCAGCUUUCGAUUAAAUUAAAAAUUAUCAAAACCGGUACACCCAGUAAAAAGUUAUUGCGGAUUUUCGAGAGUUUCCCUCGAUUUGUCUAGGAUCCCAUCAUCAGAUCCUAGUUUCCUUAUCAUGGUACCAAACUAAGGAUAUCCCCUUUCCAACAAAAAAAUAAUUAUCAAAAUCGGUACAUCCAGUAGAAAGUUAUGUGGUAUAAUACAAC
rnacentral:misc_RNA from 1 species